GCAGUGGUGGUUCAGUGGUAGAAUUCUCACUUUCAUGUGGAAGACCCAGGUUCGAUUCCCAGCCAAUGCA
rnacentral:tRNA from 1 species